UACGUAGGGUGCAAGCGUUAAUCGGAAUUACUGGGCGUAAAGCGUGCGCAGGCGGUUGUGCAAGACCGAUGUGAAAUCCCCAAACUUAACCUAAGAAUAGCAUUGGUGACUGCACGGCCAGAGUGUGUCAGGGGGGGGUAGAAUUCCACGUGUAGCAGUGAAAUGCGUAGAGAUGUGGAGGAAUACCGAUGGCGAAGGCAGCCCCCUGGGAUAACACUGACGCUCAUGCACGAAAGCGUGGGGAGCAAACAGG
rnacentral:rRNA from 1 species